UGGAAAAGUGAUCGAGAGGAUUAAGAUGAUACUUUGCUAAAGUAUUGUGCCGUCAGGCACCGGGGGUUCGAAUCCCUCCUUUUCCGU
rnacentral:tRNA from 1 species